AAUAGAUACCCUGGUAGUCCACGCCGUAAACGAUGAGUGCUAAGUGUUAGAGGGUUUCCGCCCUUUAGUGCUGCAGCUAACGCAUUAAGCACUCCGCCUGGGGAGUACGGUCGCAAGACUGAAACUCAAAGGAAUUGACGGGGGCCCGCACAAGCGGUGGAGCAUGUGGUUUAAUUCGAAGCAACGCGAAGAACCUUACCAGGUCUUGACAUCCUCUGACAACUCUAGAGAUAGAGCGUUCCCCUUCAGGGGACAGAGUGACAGGUGGUGCAUGGUUGUCGUCAGCUCGUGUCGUGAGAUGUUGGGUUAAGUCCCGCAACGAGCGCAACCCUUGAUCUUAGUUGCCAGCAUUCAGUUGGGCACUCUAAGGUGACUGCCGGUGACAAACCGGAGGAAGGUGGGGAUGACGUCAAAUCAUCAUGCCCCUUAUGACCUGGGCUACACACGUGCUACAAUGGAUGGUACAAAGGGCUGCAAGACCGCGAGGUCAAGCCAAUCCCAUAAAACCAUUCUCAGUUCGGAUUG
rnacentral:rRNA from 1 species